AUCGAACGCUGGCGGCAGGCUUAACACAUGCAAGUCGAGGGGAGCGGCAGACGGGUGAGUAACGCGUGGGAACGUACCUUUUGGUUCGGAACAACACAGGGAAACUUGUGCUAAUACCGGAUACCGAAAGAUCGGCCCGCGUCUGAUUAGUUAGUUGGUGAGGUAAUGGCGCACCAAGGCGACGAUCAGGAGCUGGUCUGUGAGAAUGAGCAGACACAUUGGGACUGAGACACGGCCCAAACUCCUCCGGGAGGCAGCAGUGGGGAAUAUUGGACAAUGGGGGCAACCCUGAUCCAGCCAUGCCGCAUGAGUAAUGAAGGCCCUAGGGUUGUAAAGCUCUUUUGUGCGGGAAGCGGUACCGCAAGAAUAAGCCCCGGCUAACUCCGUGCCAGCAGCCGCGGUAAUAC
rnacentral:rRNA from 1 species